rnacentral:lncRNA from 1 species
CAUAGGAUGUCGGCAAUCUCAGAAACCUCUGGGAGUCUGCUUUUCAUGUAGCAAACAACCUAGUAAGAAAAACUAGCUUUGGAGCCAGCCCCGGCUGGAAAAAAUGAAGCUAAAUGAAACUCUCUCCACAAUAUUGGGCUAAAACCUUUUGAUGUUUCUUGCUGAGCCUACCUGGCUAAUGCCAUCAGUGAAAGACAAAUCAGAACAGAUGAAGAAUGUGACUUUCAGGGGAUGAAUGGAAGCGCCUCCUCUGGCUCAUGCUGGUGGGAGAAAAUGAACCAGCCCUGCUUUCUCUCCCUGGUUCAAUUCCCAGCAAAGGAAAAACAAUGUAAUUCAUGAUGAUGAUGACAAUGACAAUGACGACAACAACAAUAACCAACCUUUAACACAUCCUUAUAAUGUGCCAGACCCUGCGGAUCACUGUGAAAAGAACAUGAGAUGCCCUUUGCAGGGACAUGGAUGGAGCUGGAAGCCAUUAUCUUCAGCAAACUAACACAGGAACAGAAAACCAAAUACUGCAUGUUCUCACUUAUAAGUGGGAGCUGAACCAUGAGAACAUGGACACAGGGAGGGGAACAACGCACACUGGGGCCUGUGGAGGGCAGGCGGGGGGAGGGAGAGCAUCAGGAUAAAUAGCUAAUGCAUGCUGGGCUUAAUACCUAGGUGAUGGAUUGAUAGGUGCAGCAAACCACCAUGGCACACAUUUACCUAUGGAGCAAACCUGCACCUCCUGCACAUUUACCCCAGAACUUAAAAUAAAAUAAAAUUUAAAAAGGACACGAGAUAAUGUAAGAAAGUAGUUAGCCCAUAGAAAGCUGUUACUAUUCCAGUAUGUAUCCUACUACCCACGGUGCCGCUUAUAUAAGAGCGCCCUCCUGAGGCUGUCAGAAUAACUGGGGCGAGGCAGGGAAUGAGAGGGGACACCAGGCCUGAGGAGUGAGGAGAACAGACUAGAAUGGCUUCCUGACCGAAACUACACCCGCUCAACCCCAGGCCUGUGUAAUAGGCACUUCCACUUUAGUGUGAGGGUAAAUCCCAGAACACUGAAGAAACACAGCCCAGAGCUGGCAUCCUUUUGGCCAUUUCCUGAAGUGGAGCUGGAUUUCAGAGGGCUGUCUCAAAUGACAGUGUCAGCACUAGGAGCUGAUGGUUAAAGCUCUGCAAGAAAACAGCAUCCAGCAUUUUCUUUUGCUACUCUCAUGGGCCAACAUGAAAGUGCGUAAUGAUGGACACAGGCUUUGCUUAAGUGGUGAGUCUAUCAUCCAACCUUUGACUAUAAUUAUGUUGCUCAGAUUAGAGCUAAGUAAACACUGGAUUUGUUUUUUUUUUUUUUUUACUACGAGCAAAUGAAUUUUAUUUCUUACUCAG